UACGGAGGAUCCAAGCGUUAUCCGGAUUUAUUGGGUUUAAAGGGUGCGUAGGCGGCCUGUUAAGUCAGAGGUGAAAGACGGUAGCUCAACUAUCGCAGUGCCUUUGAUACUGACGGGCUUGAAUGAACUAGAGGUAGGCGGAAUGAGACAAGUAGCGGUGAAAUGCAUAGAUAUGUCUCAGAACACCGAUUGCGAAGGCAGCUUACUAUGGUUUUUUAUGACGCUGAGGCACGAAAGCGUGGGGAUCAAACAGG
rnacentral:rRNA from 1 species